rnacentral:rRNA from 1 species
GAUGAACGCUGGCGGCGUGCCUAAUACAUGCAAGUCGAGCGAACAGAUCAGGAGCUUGCUCCUUUGACGUUAGCGGCGGACGGGUGCGUCACACGUGGUUAACCUACCUCUACGACUGGGAUAACUCCGGGAAACCGGGGCUAAUGCCGGAUAACAUGUUGAACCGCAUGGUUCUACAGUGAAAUGCGGCUUUUCUGUCACUUAUAGAUUGACCCGCGCCGUAUGAGCUAGUUGGUGAGGUAACGGCUCACCAAGGCAACGAUGCGUAGCCGACCCGAGAGCGUGGUCGCACAGACUGGAACUGAGAAAGGGCCGAGACUCUGACGGGAGGACGCAGUAGGGAAUCUUACGGAAUGGGGGAAAGCCGGACGGAGCAACGCCGCGGGAGUGAUGAAGGUCUUCGGAUGGUAAAGCUCUGUUAGCAGGGAAGAAGAAAUGCGUAAGUAACCGUGCGCGUCUUGACGGUACCUAAUCAGAAAGCCACGGCUAACUACGUG